AUUGAACGCUGGCGGCAGGCCUAACACAUGCAAGUCGAGCGAGCGGCGGACGUGUGAGUAAUGUAUGGGGACUGCCCGAUAGAGGGGGAUAACUUCUGGAAACGGUGGCUAAUACCGCAUACUAUCGGAUAACCCAUAUGGGAUUAGUUAGUAGGUGGGGUAAAGGCUCACCUGGUCGACGAUCUCUCGCUGGUCUGAGAGGAUGAUCAGACACACUGGGACUGAGACACGGCCCAGACUCCUACGGAGGCAGAAGUGGGGAAUAUUGCACAAUGGGCGCAAGCCUGAUGCAGCCAUGCCGCGUGUAUGAAGAAGGCCUUAGGGUUGUAAAGGACUUUCGGCGGGGAGGCGUUACACGAAGAAGAAUCACCGGCUAACUCCGUGCCAGCAGCCGCGGUAAUAC
rnacentral:rRNA from 1 species